rnacentral:rRNA from 1 species
UACGUAGGGACCAAGCGUUGUUCGGAUUUACUGGGCGUAAAGGGCGCGUAGGCGGCAAUUCAAGUCAUCUGUGAAAUCUCCGGGCUUAACCCGGAACGGUCAGAUGAUACUGCUUUGCUAGAGUGCGGAAGGGGCAAUCGGAAUUCUUGGUGUAGCGGUGAAAUGCGUAGAUAUCAAGAGGAACACCAACGGCGAAGGCAGCCCGCUGGGACGGUACUGACGCUAAGGCGCGAAAGCGUGGGGAGCGAACAGG